rnacentral:sRNA from 1 species
UUGCUGAUGAUUCUAGUUGAGUUUUAUGC